rnacentral:misc_RNA from 1 species
AUAUGAACAGAUCCUUUCCAUUAGACAUCUGCCGAAACCUUGAACAAAUGCCCCCACAGGGAUCAUCCCCGGGGGGUUUUUAGUCGACGCUUGUCGGCGACAUCAGCAGUCUGCGGGAACACUCCCUCUGGGAGCAACCCGCAGCCAGGCCCCAUGGCCCGGCUCACAGACUAAGUGCCGGUGGGUUCUGAUAUCUGUAUCAGGAUUUUCGAUAUAGUCGGUCCUCGGGAGAGAUCCCGGAGGGUUGAACAACGUUCCGUAGGUGAACCUGCGGAAGGAUCAUUAAAGAGUAAGGGUCUUCCAGGCCCAACCUCCAACCCCAUGUGUACCUAUCUUCGUUGCUUUGGCGGGCCGCUGGGCCUCCCACCACCGGCCUCGGCGGGUGAGUGCCCGCCAGAGACCCCCCAAACUCAUGUUAAAAACAUAUCGUCUGAGUACUAUACAAUAGUUAAAACUUUCAACAACGGAUCUCUUGGUUCUG